rnacentral:misc_RNA from 1 species
CGGUUCGAGUCCGCUUACCUCCACUGAUCAACUACCUAAUAACUCUUUAGAAGGAGAAUUAUUGACGUGUGACUUAGCUGUUGUUCACUGAAUGAACCUAGCUUCAUAUCAUGUCUUAAAUUAAGUUAAUUUUUAAGAUUGAUAAGACGCUGGGCUCUCUGUAAAUCUUUAUAGAUUUAUGGAAUAGUUCAGUA